rnacentral:rRNA from 1 species
AGUGAACGCUGGCGGUAGGCCUAACACAUGCAAGUCGAACGGCAGCACAGUAAGAGCUUGCUCUUACGGUUGGCGAGUGGCGGACGGGUGAGGAAUACAUCGGAAUCUACUUUUUCGUGGGGGAUAACGUAGGGAAACUUACGCUAAUACCUCAUACGACCUACGGGUGAAAGCAGGGGAUCUUCGGACCUUGCGCGAUUGAAUGAGCCGAUGUCGGAUUAGCUAGUUGGCGGGGUAAAGGCCCACCAAGGCGACGAUCCGUAGCUGGUCUGAGAGGAUGAUCAGCCACACUGGAACUGAGACACGGUCCAGACUCCUACGGGAGGCAGCAGUGGGGAAUAUUGGACAAUGGGCGCAAGCCUGAUCCAGCCAUACCGCGUGGGUGAAGAAGGCCUUCGGGUUGUAAAGCCCUUUUGUUGGGAAAGAAAAGCAGCAGGUGAAUACCCCGCCGUUCUGACGGUACCCAAAGAAUAAGCACCGGCUAACUUCGUG